CAACCUGGCCGGAGCCGAGGAGCUGUUCGUCAGGAAGUUCAACAUGCUCUUCACUAACGGCCAGUACGGGGAGGCGGCUAAGGACCUAAUCAAAUUUGAUUCAAAUGAAGACCUUGAACCCGAGACACGCAACGGAAAACUGUGUACCUGCAACAUACUGUGAAAAAUCCUAACAAAUACUUUAUGAAGACUAAGCCAAGCUGGAGGCAGAAUUCAUCUAUGAAUUCAUUGGAAACUCAAAAGUGUUGGAACUUGUUUUCUUCUUUCUCAAAUAUUUGUAGGUCGCUGGCAAUCAUACCCCAAUAUUAAUAUUAACUGGAACAUAAUUAUAAUUCAAAAUUCGUUUUACUAUUCUUUGCUAAAAAUUAAGUAAAUUCUCGCAGAAACGCCAUCCAUAUUCCACAGCAUUUGAAUACUCUUGUUACCUACUACUUAUCUACCUACAAGUAUUAAAUUUAUUUUUAUUCAAUUGAUUGUUUGAUCUAAAUUACUAUCAACUUUUAAUUUAAUAAUAAGGCGCAUAAUUAAAUCAAAAUAUUAUGGGUAGUUUUUAAUAUUUUAUUGCUCUUUUUUUAUAAAUGUUUUUUAUAAAUUGGUUAAAUGUUUUUAUUAAUUAAUGUCUUAAUCUAUUCUGUUAAAUUUAAAAUGAAAUUGUACAUAUUGUAUCAUAAACGAGAAAUUCAUAUAUAUACUUAAUUUUCUUCAAUAUAAUAUAAAAUAAAGAUGUUUUACAAAAUUCUUUC